rnacentral:rRNA from 1 species
GACGAACGCUGGCGGCGUGCUUAACACAUGCAAGUCGAACGAAGUGGCGAACGGGUGAGUAACGCGUAAUCAACCUGCCCUUCAGAGGGGGACAACAGUUGGAAACGACUGCUAAUACCGCAUACUGAAGGAGGGGAUUGCGUCUGAUUAGGUAGUUGGAGGGGUAACGGCCCACCAAGGCGAUGGUCAGUAGCCGGUCUGAGAGGAGGAACGGCCACAUUGGGACUGAGACACGGCCCAGAGUCCUACGGUAGGCAGCAGUGGGGAAUCUUCCGCAAGUGACGAAAGUCUGACGGAGCAAAGCCGAGGGAGUGAGGACGGCCUUCGGGUUGUAAAGCUCUGUUAAUCGGGACGCGUUACCGGAAUAGAAAGCCACGGCUAACUACGUGCCAGCAGCCGCGGUAAUUC